UUCGCUUCUGAGCGCAGGCGCUGAUCUAUGCCUGACAAAGUCAUUGACGGCGUCCUCGCCUUCCUAUGGAGUCGUGGUCCUUGGGUCUGCGAGAAGGUUCUUACCUUGUUUACCUGAUGCCCGCUACCUCCUAAGGAUGACUUCUGGACAGAUACAUGAGGAAACCAAGUCUUUAACAUCCCUUCCACUUGAAGCAAGGUUCCUAGAUAACGUUCUCUGUGAAAAAAAAAUAAUUAUAAAAAUCAUUAUGUAUGACUUUUAGAA